rnacentral:rRNA from 1 species
UGGGGAAUUUUGGACAAUGGACGCAAGUCUGAUCCAGCCAUGCCGCGUGCGGGAAGAAGGCCUUCGGGUUGUAAACCGCCUUUGUCAGGGAAGAAACGAGUUUCUCUAAUACAGAGACUUAAUGACGGUACCUGAAGAAUAAGCACCGGCUAACUACGUGCCAGCAGCCGCGGUAAUACGUAGGGUGCAAGCGUUGAUCGGAAUUACUGGGCGUAAAGCGUGCGCAGGCGGUUAUGCAAGUCAGAGGUGAAAUCCCCGGGCUCCACCUGGGAACUGCCUUUGUGACUGCAUAGAUAGGGUACGGUAGAGGGGGAGGGAAUUCCGCGUGUAGCAGGGAAAUGCGUAGAUAUGAGGAGGAACACCGAUGGCGAAGGGAAUCCCCUGGAACUGUACUGACGAUCAUGCACGAAAGCGGGGGGAACAAAC